rnacentral:lncRNA from 1 species
UGUUCUUUGGAUACUGUAUUGACUAAAAUGCCCAAAACCUUAUGUGCGAUUCAUCUGGAUGUUACAACAGAAAAGCACAAGAGUUCAGUACAUAGAAGAAAUAAAUCAGGAGUUAGUAGACUUGUGUCAGCUUUCCUCCCAAAGUUCCUAAUAUUCGAUUCUGUAGCUAUUUCAAGGAAGCCAUCGUUUUGCUUCAAAGAGAGCCUUAGCUGGUAGCGGUGCAUUUGACUGUUUCCUGAUUGUCAUGACAUGAGCAGUAUAACUGUAUAGCUUUCUGAAAACUGAGCAUUGGUAUCAUAUUGAUAAACAAGAUAAUUUUCUCUAUACCAUACACAUAUCCAACAUACAUAUCAAGCAGAAAAGCAUUUAAGCAAUCUCUUACAUAUUCCAUCCCAGGGUAAUAUCAAAUAUACAUAUGACCAAACCAAUUCCAUGGAUGCAACAAUAUAUUAUCAGAUCUUCACCUUGUCACAGCCUCACAGGGUCAAAGUAAACAAGUACUAGCCAAGAAAUCGUUUCUUCAUCUCUGUGAUGUACUUUUCAGACCUCUUGUUGAUGUCUUCUACAGAGACUAUACCUUUGCUUGGGUUCCCAGUCUUCUUCCAGCCUGCAGAGACAUCAUGACCAGAAGUAGGGUACUUUCCAGUUGCCGCCACUGGCUUAGCAUAGAUUGACGGUUUGGUGAGGAUGUUGUAGACGAGGUCAAUCUUUUCAACUUUUUGAAUCCUAACCUCACCUUCGAUGGGAGGGGCCAUGGUGGUAUUGGCACGUCGGCGAAACAUCUUCAAUUGGUUUUUGCUGGAAGGGAGUACUCUAUAUUGCUAAGCUAGAGUUUGCUCUUGAGCUUGCUUGGCACUGGCGGGAUGAUGGUGGUCUCUAUAUUUAUAGGCGGCCUGCGUGUUGUUUUCUUGUGAGAUUCCCUAGCUAGGCACUAUUCCCAUUUGUCUCUAGUUUGAGAAGCAAUCAGUACUCCCAUUUGUUGUCUGAAAUGUCUUUGCUAGAUGCUCUAUGAAUUAAGCAGGUGAAAAUUAAAUUAUCACUUGGGCAUCUUUGUGGAGACCCUGAUGUAAAAAUAUCAGCAUCCUUAACACGCACCCCAUAGCAGAAAGUGAAAGGCACAGAUCUCAAUUGAAGGAAGCAUCACGGAAGGGAAGUGAAUGACCUAGUUCCACGGUUGAUCUUCAAUUUGAACGUCAUGGUUGGAUGGUUAUAACUUGACCCUUUACAUUCUGUGAAGAACAAUUAAUCCGAAUUCCGAAGUGUAGGAAGAAUGUGUGGGCACAUAUAUAUUUUGUGCAUAUAUAAUCCAUGACAGAAGGACAACAGUCAUGUUAGUUUCACUGCACUACUACUGGCAGUGCCUCUUUUUUUUACUAGCUCCCCUGUUCGGCCGAACUACCUAUACCUCGCGCGCUAAGUGGAAAUGGAGCUCACUCGCCAACAAAAAAAAAGUUGCACUUUUGCAAAUAAUUUUAACCAUUAAGUUGCAGUUCAGAUUGGCCAGUGGCACUGUCUACUAGUGUGGAAUCUCCGCUACCCAAUUAGUUUGGUGGUGGAAUCUGAUUAGAUAAAAUUAACAUGAUUAUGAAGAAAGAGUGAUUGUACAUCUAUAACAAUGCUUAAAAGUACAAAAUCAUAUCUUGCAGACAUAUCUACACAAAUUGCAGCUAGCUGUCUGCACGUAAUUUGACAUGACAAGCAAAUUAAGUGAGCAUCCUUCAAAGACUUCAAGAAAUCAACUAGAAAGCAGAGGAAACAAUUAAAUCAGCUAGUUAAUUACAUGCAGCUGAUCUAUAUGAAUCAAGAGCAUAUAGUAGGAUUUGGGAAAGUGCCAAGAAACUGACUGGUAAUGGAAUUAAUUGCAACCUUGACCCCUCCUACUAAGAAUCUAAGAUCCAAACUCCUUAUUUAAACACAAUAUCCAUUGCAUGCGGAUGUGCUACUUCCUCUGAUAAAAAUUUUUAACUCAUUUUAAACUUUUGCAUAAAUAUUAGUAGUAAAGUGGAUAACAUGACAUUGUUACUCUUCAUGUAUCUAGAGUUUUUGGUAUAGCAUAUUUAGAAAGGUGGGGAAGGCUACUGAACCAAUAUAUAUAUUUGGAAUCAGAUAUGUCACCAAGAAUCUAGCCCUUGUUUUCGGUCCCAAAUAACUGACUGGCAAUCGUUUAAGAACCAUGACAGGCUAGUCCUACGUCCCAGUCAGUAAAUUUAAUUUUUAAUCCUAUCACAGAGAUGUUCAUUCUAAAAGCAUAAAUAUGCCGGCUCUAUUUUUAAGAGGUUGAUGGUCGGCAAGCAGAAAAAUCAUGGAAAGCCCCAUCUCCUGAAAAUCCAAAAGCGUAAGUGGAAUCUGUGCCUGUUCAUUGUCUGUUCCCACAGAAAUUGUUCGAAAUGUUGGACCCUUAAUUUCCGUCAAAACAGAAGAUAUCAUUGCAAGUGGGACUAAUAAUAUAAUUCCUGUCGGAUACAGCUUGCUGAUGAUCAUAGCCUAGGGAGCUCAUACAGCACUGGGAUCUAUGCCAUCCGUCGAUCAAUUAUACUCGUGGCGAUCGCGAUCAAAAUGGAGAUCAAAGUUGCAGCCACAAUCACAAGUGAUUUUCAUUUAAACAUUUAGAAAAAAAGGAAUUAUGGUCUUUGCGACUGCACACAGCCAAGACUCCAUUUACUUGUUUAUCUCUCUCUCACUUAUGCUACUCGCUAGUUGUUCGAUCGUCCUCCAAUGGUUCAUCUUGAUCUGUAACUCAAAUGAAAAAAAUAAUGUGGCAUUUGCAAAAAUACCUUUGUUCUAGAAGACCUAUCAUUGGUGUGAUUGAAUGAGGGCUAGAAACUUAUAACCAUCCAACAUUCAUGUAAAUGUUAGACACCUUCAUAAGAUUAGAGGAUGCCCUAACGAACUGAGAUAUUUUAGAUUGUCCUGAUCAUCAUCAUGUGAGAUGAGACCCUACAUAUCAUUUUCAAUCAAUAAAGGACAAGUUGCUUAAUCUCAAUGUCCCACAAGUGAAAAGAACACGAAGAAUUUGUUCGAAGUGUCUCAUUCCUGCUUUGGGAAACAGACCAGCACUUCUCAUAUAAAAAGACAAAAACUAAAGUUGGUGCACUGCUUGAUCAAAAUCGAUGGCAUUACAGAUGUGCAUGUAAGUCUUUGUCGAUCUGCUGAACUUUUGCUGCAGGCCAUUCAAAAAUUAAAAAUUCAUAUUACCAAUAAAGAAAGGGAUUUCAGAAAGUAACUAUCUUAGAUUGAACCAAUAGCUGUUGAACACUGGUAGAUAAAGAUAUAUAUAUUAUAUAUAAGAUCAACUAAUCAUAUCUUGUUAUAUAUGUAUGUAUAUCAUAAAGCAAGAAGCGCCGGACAUGAUACAUAUGUGCAGUACUAUGCAUAAAUUAAGCAGUAUAUCAUAGAUGACAUUCUGGUGCUACUUGACUUACAUAGUACAAAGCUGUGCUAUAUGUAUAAAUAGAGAGCAUUAAAUCAUGAGCACCAGAGUUGGGCUUUUAGACUUUUCAUCUCUUCUGAGACAAACUAAGGGUCUGGCUCAACAAAUUGCUUCUUCUUCAUCGCGAUGUAGUCAUCGAUAUCUUUCUUCGAUGGCACACCCUCAAGCGGGACCCUAAACAUCUUCUGGCCAGAGACCUCAACAUCAGCAGGUGGCUUUGCCACCACCGUCACCGCCGUCGGGUUGGUGUACAUAGAAGGUCUUCUGACCAGGUUGUAGACAGGCUCAAUCUUGUCCACCUUCUGCACGCUCACCUCACCGUCGGCAAGAAAACGGUUCUUGUUGCGAAACAUGGUGUGUGUUUACUGGUUUGUCGCAAGAGAGGAGGCUAGCACUAGCAGGAUGAAUUGUUGAGGUUGCUUGCCUUCCAUGGUGCUGGUGGUGGUCUCCAUUUAUAGGCCCUGUGGGGGUUUGUACUAUUCACUGUGAUAUUAGUGAGAAUUAAAGGUAGAUGCAGUAUUUUUUUUUCAUAUGUUGACUUUGGUUACUAGAUGCAGUAGGUACAAGUUAGCUUGACAAUGGGCAGAGCCUCCAAAGCUCCGGCUAGUGUGAAUACAUUAGCAUCCUUAAAUUUCAACCACAUACUCGAAAGUAAAAAAGGCUUGUGCAUGUCUCCAACGAAGGCAAGUAGCUUCAUGGAAGGGAGAGUUCAAGGGUGAAUAAUCUAGCUGACCCUUCUCUGUCUCUGAACAGUCCAAAGAUCAGGAUCUAAUAGUUAGAAGUUAGGUAUCCAUUUGUGCAUAUUUGAUGUUUCUGUCAAGGCCUGAUUGAUUUUGGGAUCUGCUGGUCGGGACAGGUAAGGUACUAAGGUGCCAUACAUAGUGCACUGGCGAAACCAUUUAUACAGAUGUACUACAUCACAAGAGAGAUUGUAGCAUAUUGUAGCUGAACAUCAGUUUUCUCAGGUUUAGCCAAGGCUUAGCUCCAGGAUUGCACUACUCACCUAAUUUGGUUUGUCACAUGACUUGCGGCCUUGAGUAGGACCAUGGGGAUCAAUGUUUGCUAAUUCUUCAGUUUCUUUGAUCAUGUCCAUUUCAUGGAACACAAAACAUUGCUGAACAAAAUUUAAAUUCAGUGCCUCCCCUCUUUUCCCCUACAAUUUUUGUCAGGUGAUCAGGGAUACAACAUCGCCAACGUACAGAAUAUCUGCAAGCAAGCCGUGUAGGUGUCAAUUGGCAAAAGGAAAGAAUCCAAUUAAGUGCAAAUACGAUAUCGAUCUUUGGAGACCUAACUUUACUCUAGUAGGUAGAUUAAUUAAUCAUGAAACCUUCUUGUUCCGUAUCGGACACGAGUGACUACACAUAAUCUCAGGUUCUUGUUAGUGGAGUUCUAACUCCUCAUUAUUUGACAAGUGUGCAUGCUAAUAUCAGGUGCUAACACUUUUCGAUGGCAACACGCAACUCUGCCAAGACUCGAAUGAUGUCGAAUCAACCUGAGAAUAGACCGUGUUUGCCAUUGCCGGCUUACCAAAAUAGAUGAACACUACGCACCAUCACAUUGAUCUAAUCACCUGUGUCACAUUAGCAACUUAUCUUGUUAGCAUCAGGUUUUUUAAAUUGUGCUGUUUCAUGUGCAUGAGCAACAUUUUUCUUGACCAUUCUGCAUUUCAAGUGAAGCCUAAAUCAGCAAAAGAGGGUUAGCUGUUUGGGGUGCGCUUUAAGCCAUCACCUAAGGCUAGGGAUCGCUUUGCGUAAAAGAGGCUAAGUUAGGGGGUCUUGGGGCUUAUUUACAAGGUCUAAGGAUUUAGUUGCACAUCCAGGGACCUAUUUGUAAGUCCUAGGGGCUCUUUUAGAAAUUCCAGGAAACUUCUUAUAAUAUUUGAUCCCACUAAUGGAAUAAAUGUAAACAACCGCCUCCUCCUUUCUAUAAAUAGAUCCCUAAGGCUUGGAGGAGAGGACCUUUUACCCAUUUUCUCACUUGCUCACUUAGCUUGCUCUCUCUCUCACUUAUCACUCUAAGGUUAUUAAGUUGAGCUUGAGUUCUUUUUUCAAAAUCUGUCUCGUUUCGUCGCCGCUACUUUAGCUCGAGGCUUUGACCUUCAUCACAACCUUCACCUCAAUCAUCACUUCGGCUUCAAGGGCUUGUGGUCAACUUCGACUUCAUCGUCAUGACCUUCGAUAUUGCCAUCAACCUCGCCUCCAUCGCCACUUCGGCUCGAGAGCUCGCUGGCUCGUCGUCAACUUCAAUGGCAACAGCAUAACCUUCGACCACUACUUAAACCUCUAGGUCAUUUUACGUCGACUACUUCAACUACAUGCGAAGCUUAUCUCACGAGCACCAGCCAAGAGGGGCUGGGGGUGUACUGGAGGACCAGUUCAUCUCAGACAAUAGAGUCUUGUCCGGCGCUCGUGAGAGAAGACUUGAAGAUGUAGCGGUCUACUCCGACUAUGUUGGCUCUUGGAGCAGGCCUACUGUGGAGAUAUAUUGGAGGACCAGUUCAUCUUGAACGAUGGAAUUCUAUACGAAACUCAAAAGAGAAGCCACCCGCCGAUCGAAGCUCAAGAGCCAAACGGCCCUCGAAAUCAAAGCUCUAGAGGGUCUAAAACUAGCGCUUGUGUAAAUCGAUGCAUGUGCAUGCUCUUUUCUCCAUGCCUUUUUUUCCCACUGGAUUUUUGGGCUAGAGUUUUUAGCGAGGCACAUAUGUAGGGGUUGCAAAGGAUAUUUCUUACAAUCGGGAGCCGGAUUGUAGAUAUGCCUCUUUUAAUAGGAUCGGCUACUCGGCCUUGUUGCGCCAGCCGAGAUCGAAUAGACGAGGGGCUACUGUUGGGGUGCGCGUUAGGUCAUCAGCUAAGGCUAGGGAUCCCCUUUUGUAUAAAAGAGACUAAGUCAGGGGUCUUGGGGUUUGUUUACGAGGUCUAACAACUUAAUUGCACAUCCAGAGAUCUAUUUGUAAGUCCCUGAAAGUGCAUCUAGGCCCCUAGUGGGUUAUUGAUGAAUUGAAUGACACCACGAUUAAAGAACUAAUCAACUUAUUGAGUAUAUGAGCAGGAAGUGAUUAUUAUAUCAAUAGAAUAUUUGUGAUGAAAGAUAUUGAAAGUAAAUACAAAAGGCUCAUAUGACAAGAUGCGUGACUAGGCUAUGAUUAAAGUAACAAUAUUGACAAGCAAUAAAUACUAUAUGGAUUGAGUCACGUGUUUGAUAACAACUAUUUAUUCUCAUAUCUAAAUGAAGCUUGUUGACAAAGUUAUAACACUAGAAAGAAAUUUCUUGUGAAGAAAUGGAAAAUCUAUCAAUAGAAGAUAUAAGUUGCAAAGAAUUGUAAAGAAUGGAUUUCACUGAUGAUUUAAUUAUGAUACAAAUCUAUAUGGAACUUUAUGUGAUGCAAGGAUGAAGAGUUGGAAUUCGGGAUAGUUUUUCGAGGGGCUAAGCUUGGCGAAGGGUAAUUGGUUUGUGCCGAGGCACCAACGCUAAGGUGAAGAAACUUUUUUGAUUCAACUUGAAGAAUCUUGGUUAUAUAUGGUGUUUAUAUUAGCAAGUAUCAAUGUUUCUAGAAUCUUACACUGAAGAUGUUGAUUUGAACUAGAAGUGGAUUUCAUUUAAAGAUAAUGGUUCAAGUCACUGGCUCAAGGAUGUAAGUUACAGAAAUCAAGUUGGAUGCACUUCUCAGAUUGAGAAUGAUCAACGCACGGCAUGGUAAGAAACUUAAGUGGUUGAAAUAUAAUCUAUUUUUUAUCUUGAGUACAGAUGUGCCGUACUAUCAAGAGUGAUGCAUCACAUUGUAUUUUGGUUUAGUCUCAGUGCUCAAGUAACCCAAGUAAGUUGAGAGAGAUACAAAAGUCUCAAGUGCACAUUGGGUGAAAUUAACAAGGGCAACCCGGAAGUUCCAGCUUUCCCAACCCAGAAGUUCCGGGUUUUGCUUACAUGGCACUGACGGCUAGUAGGUUUGAAAACUCGGAAGUACCGGGUUCUAACUAUCACAUAGCGACUAGUUUCUUUGGACCCAGCUAUUUAUACUCUUGAACCCUCUCCUUGAUAGGCUGCUGUUCCAGGCAUUACUAUGCUGCUUGCUGGUCAUCCUAAGAAAGUUUGGUAGCCUUGUUGAGCUCUCCCCAACCUCUCUUUGUGAGAUUGUGUGAUUCUUAUAAUAUCUUUGAAUUGGAUUUGAGUGAGUGAAAGUGUGAAAGCACUAGAGAGCACAGCAAACCUUGAGCACUUGAGUUUAGUCGAAAUCUUGUGUUUCACAUUUGUUACUCUUGGAGUUUUGGCUCCUAGACGGCUAGGUGUUACCUGGGGAGCUCCCAAUCGUGUGGUGAGCCGCGGGAAGUUUGUGCAGGUUGCGCUUUGCUUCCGCAAGGGAAGAAGCAAGCUUAGUGAAUUGGGGAAGUAGUUGGAAGAAGACCCAACUCAGUAGGAGUGAGGUGGAAUAGACUCACAUCCUAAAGAGUUCCCCAACGGAGAGUAGAUUCACUGUGCUUUAGUAGCAGCUUUGGUGGCAAGCAAUGAAUCUAAACUUCUGUAAAAACAAAUCUUUGUGUGCCCCACCUUUUUGCCUCUCAUUGUACUUUUGUGAUAUUUGUGAAAUUGGUUGAUCUACUUAGUUGAUAGUAUUUCUGUGUGCAGAAACUGUAUGGAUCUGUAUGGAUCUGCUUCAGAAACUUCGCUAAGCAUACUCUGCAUCCGGGGGUUUGAACUUACUCGCUCUAAAUUUAUUAUGUUCACUCUGCUCUACGUGAACCCGGAAGUUUCGGUUUGUAAAAUCUGGAAGUUUCGAGUUCAUCUACUGCCUUGCUCAAAUUUGAAAGUUCCGGAUUUGCUAAAUUGGAAGUUCCGAGUUUGGCAGGCAGUGAAUUUUAUCCGCUGCCUUGGAGUAAAAAUUUUGUAGGUACACCUAUUCACCCCUUUAUAGAUGACAUCACGGUUCUUUCAGUCCUGUGGGCUCUUUUAUAAAUCUCAGGGAUCUUCUUAUAAUAUUUGACCCUAUCAAUAGAAUAAAUAUAAACAACCGUCUCGUCCUUAGAGCUCUAGAGCUUGGAGAAAAUAACCUUUUGCCUAUUUGCUCAUUUGCUUACUUGGCUUGCUCUUCCUCUCACUUAUCACUGUCUGGUUUCGAUCUAUCCGAACCCAACAUUAGCAACAGAGUAGAUAUUUUAGAAGGUCCUGACAUGCAGAUAAGGAUCAGUCGAUGAGCAAGGGACAGGAAGGUGCCUAAAAAGUACACAAGAGUUGGGUGGAAUGAUGCAGAUUCCUUUGUAGAAAUUGAUCAAAAGUUCUUGAUUCCUGCGUCGACUAGAAGUUUCCACCAAGUGGAGAAAUUGUACAUCAGCAUGAAAUUGGUGUUGGUUAAGUAUGUUUGUUUCUCCGCAGAAGCAUGCUCCUGCACUCUUCAGUAAGUUCGAUGUCUUUCAGGAAUUCAGGUUCUUAUUUAAUUAAAAUUUAAAUUUUUAAUCAACUAGAAAAGGGAAAGACCCCUCAGACAACUAAAUCAUUAAGUAUGUAUUGUAGUAGUAUGCAUGUCUUGUUACAAAAUCACAAGUGCAAGAUUAUAUGCUUGUGACAAACACACUAUCACAGAGGCUGAAACAUCAGGGGCCACAUCCUCAUGGGAGUCUUUUUUUCCAGCUCUGUCUCAGUAAAGAAAAUAGAGAGAAGAAGGAAGUUUACUUCUAUGGAAAAGGUCGUCAUCUUAAAGAGGUCGACACUUCUAUCGUCAUCUAACAUUUUCUCGAUAAAGGAAGUUUUAUUGAUCAAGGUGGUCAUGAAUUCGUGAUUUCAGAUGAUUUUGUAAUAUUCUUUUCACUCUAUUUUUCUAGGAAAGGAAAUUAUGAUCUGGUGAUAGGUUGCUUAUACGGCUCCACAUUGCUCCAACGCCAAAUCAGCGCAAAGGUGUAUCAUCGAUCAUUGGUUGUGAGAAGCAUCAGGUUCGUUCUAGACUCCAAAAUGCAAGACUUGGACUCGUCGCAACAGUCUAGCCUGCAUCUCCCAGAAUUAAACAAGGAAAACACUAGGAAGAAUAUAGACACAUAGUGAAUCAUAUAUAGCAUGGGCAUGCUGCAGCUGUAGGGAGAAUCAGCAUUCUGGCUUUUGUAGGAAGAUAUGUUUGUGGCUCUUUAAAAAGAGCUCUGAUCUUCGACAGAUUGGCCUUAGGAGAUCUACUGCUUAUUGGUGGUUGCAUUCUGGGGAUGAAGAAUAGUACUAGCUAGCUGUCCAUGGUUGAUUCUUCUAGCAAAUUACUAGCAGUUGUUAUAUGGUCUUUGAUCGCGGCCUAGUAUGAUUCUUGCUGAAUCUCUAUUUUCAUAUACAAAAAGAAAAUUCCAAAGGUAGUCAAGUAAAGUCAUGAUGGUAAUAUUUUUAUAUUCAGUUACCUUUUUAGAACUGAACUAUAUAUCGUUACUAUUCUUAACAUUGACAGUCUACUAGACUAUCGCACAGGAAAAUAGUGUGUGAAUUGUCCAUUUUGCAAAGGUCGGAAGCAUGCGUAUGGGUGCCUAUAUCAUGCUGCAGAUGAAAAGAGUAAGAGUGAAGAAACCAUAUGUUCCAAAGUGUUUAUUCCGUGAAUUUUUGAGAUAGCAACUGCAGUGGCUGACUCAUAUGACCAAGCAGUUGCACAAUGCAAGUUUUAUAACAAGAAAGCUCGCACCAUAAGCUUCUUGGAAACACACACGCCCGUAAGCUCACACUGCUGGCGUACGGCUGGAGCGCCCGACUUACAUAGCCACUAUUUUUCCCGACGGAUACAUAUACGUAGCCGUAGGUACUAUGGGCUUUGCCUGACGAAACAGAUUUUACUAGUUGUGCACAAUAGGCACCGAGACAAAAAAGCCGUCGGGCUUUUCAUCCACGUCUCCCACCCGAACAACGCUGACGGUCAGGCUCCUGGUUACCUUGGCCGUCGCCGUUUGCGACGGCUUGGUGGCGACGUUGUAGGCCUCGAUCCUCUCCACUUUCUUCACCCUCACCACACUCUCGACCGGGAGCUCAUUGCUCGAGCUCACGCUCGCCCUAGGGUUGCUGCUGCGGAACAUUUUCCUUCCUUCUCUGGAUUGGAAACGACCCUAAAUUGUUAUGUUCCUCUGACCUUGGUUGUGGUUGUGGCCUCCAUUUAUAGGCUGGAAGCUAGCUAGGAGGCGUGUUCUGGAGGGACUCUGCGUGCAGAGAUAAUGCUGGUGUGCAGUGAUCGAGAGCAAUCAGUGACAAAUCAAAGCUGCAGUGCUCUCAGUCUCAGUUCUAAUGCUUUUCUUUAUGCUGCCAAAAUAUGUUCGGUCGUUGCUGUGCAGAGUGAUCUUUGUAAGCAUCUUGGCAGAACCUCACACAUGCAUGUGGAAAUAUCAUUACCGAAUUCGCAUCGGGUACUCAAAGGGCAUCUUAAUCAAGCUCAGCCCAAGCUAACAGUAGUGCACGUAGCUUGGAAUAUAAUCUGAGCUACUAUUGACGCCGAUUGUGUAGCAUGGGAUGGGAUGAACUUCGUGGUAUAUAUGGACUCUCCGAUUAAAUAAUAUAGUUAUAUAGGUAGUCUGCAUCUUGGCUUGAUAAAAUAGAAGAACUUUUUUCUCCACCAAGAAACCAAAUGGCCUAGCAAGUACGCCAGUCGCCAGGUACUCUAGAGUUCAGGUAGAUAAGAAUCCAUGAGGAUCCGUGGUGUUGAAAAUAUGCACGACGGCAGCAGCGUUGGAGAGAUGCAGCAAGGUACUUUUAUGAUUUUCAGAACCCCUCAUGCCCGUCUGCUAAAGCAGCACUUAAGAUUUUCAGAGAAAGAGAAAAGAGGUGUAGAAUCCAAAAAAUUCAGACACGGGAGAUCUAGUUAAAUUAAGAGGAAACCAGCUGGGGCAAAUAAAGUCGAGAUCUUCCGAAUUAUUCUUCCUGGAUCACCGGUUGAUCAACCGCAUUGCAUGUUCGAAAAUAAUUUAAACCUUCAGCAAAUAAACUUUUCAGUAUUCUUUUAGUAUAUAUUGUUAAACAAUUUGCAAAGUGCACAAGUUAUUUAUUUCUUGCGUGCAUCGCGUGCUCAUCUUCAUCUCAAGAGCUGGGAUAAAGCAGCAGCGUGCUGCACGCUCCAUGCCAAAUAAUUCAGAAGAGACCAACAUUGAGCAUCUCGAAUCUAGAUGGGCUCAACCACCAAAGAAAAAGUUUGGAUGCCGAAUUUCUUCGUAGUCCAAUCGAUCACCUUGACAGGUUUAUUGCUAAAUAUAUUUGUCUCCAUGCAGGGGUUACAUGUACGUGUUGAGCUCAUGUAGGUCGUUAAGGAUCUUACUAUUACUAAUUGAAAACUCUUUUUAAGCUUUCACGUGAAGCUACCUAGAAUACUAGAUGCACACUCUAAAAAAAUAGAGAAAUCUUAGAAAUUCUCACGAAAAUAAAAAACAUCCGACUAUCAGUCUGACAACUCUAAUCAUAAUAGUCAUUAGAUCUGUUAUCUUUCCUAAUAAAUUAUCCACCUCUGUCAUUAUGCAAAUAGACUAAAGUAACCCCUAAACAUGUAUCUAAAUUACCCACCUCUGCCAUUAUAAAAAAAAUUUAAAGUAACCCCCUAAUCUUCGUGUAAAUUACCCCUAAUCUUUGUGUAAAUAAUGCAAAUAACCCCUAAAUUUGCAUAUAAAUUAUCCAAUUAUGUCAUUAUUAAAAGUUAAAAUAACCUUUAAAUCUGAAUCUAAAUUCUAUAAUUAUAAUAAAAUAUUAAAGUUUGCCAAUAUAAAAUUCUAAAUUACUAUUUCUAUCAUUAUUAAUAUAUUAUUUACGUUUCACCAUGUAUUCAUGUACGGAUGGAAGAGAUAAGAAUACCAAUUCACAAAUAAAUGGUUCGAUUAAAUAUAUCACAAACACACAUGGAGGUGUGAUGCAAAAUGAAAUCUAUUGUAGUUAAAUAAUGACAAAUAUGUAUUUUAGAACAUGUGUUAUAAUAUUUAAUAGAUGAAAGAGGCGAGAGAUAGAUAAUUAUAAUUAUUAGCUAUAAGCUUUAUCUUUAUAUUAAUUCUAAUUAGUCCGUGUGGGAACACGGAUUGAUAGGCUAGUGACCUAUAAUUUUGAAUGGAAGGAGUAUUUGUGAGUGAUAUGCACAACGGUCCUUAAACAUGUGGAUUGUUAUAUAGGUCCAAUAACUUCAAAAAUACAAACAAUCUAGGUCUAAAUUGCCAAAAUUACCCCUACAAUUUUGACUUGUUAAUAUGGAAAUCUCCACUCGGAUAUUCCACGUCAGCAAUCCUAGGGGUAUUUUGGGAACUUUGGGACUAGAUGACGCAUUCAACAAGUUUGAGGCCUUAAUCUACAUUUUAAAGUUCAUGAACUUGGGCGACACACUCCAUGAAAAGUUUAAGAACCAACACAUGUUUAUUUGUGAAUUGCCGCUUGUUUCUAUGCUGCGUUAGCUCAUGUGUCAUGCUGAAAGUCUGAAAUUUAUGUACUUGUUCAGUUGGAUUGGAUCAGAACACUUGUUCCGUGCAUAUCUCACAACACAGAUUACUGCUAGCUAAGUAUAAUAAUCUGUAUCAAAGUCUAUGCUUUUAUCUAAAAGAUCAAAGCCUAGGCAUCCUCCUCUCCUUCCAUAACUCCUAUGCAUCCCAAACCGUCCAUGUAAAUUGGAAGCUUAGUGUGCAGAGCGAGCUUCUUAGGAUGACAAAAGCUUGUGAUCGGAAGCUAAAAUAUGGUUUGAUUUCCAAAUUUGAUGAGCUCAUUCUCCAAUCCAACUUGAUGGGGCCUCGUUGCGUUGCCGGUCUUAGGACAUGCUUGUGGCUGAAGCCUGAAGCUAAUUAAAAAACGUGGUUAGAUCGGCUCCGAACUCGAAGAACUCAAUGAACUCAUUGUAUAUUUGGAUCACUUCAUUUUGCAACUCGUUUAGUUUGAAGGUUGCUUGGUUACCUGAUAUUUUAUAGAGGUAUAGUCAUAGCUAUCUCACCAUGCAGUAAACUCUUAACUAUUACAGAAAAAUAAAUAUUACACAGAGUUGCAUCCGCAGAGAUGACAAUGCCACUGAAAACAUGCAUCAAUUAUAUGCUGGUCUUCAUGUUACACACACAGGGCUUCAAAUAUAAGUACUAUGUAUAUGUUCAGGAAAUACUUGUUGGUUCUGUAUAUCUGCAUGAGGUGAUCAGGAUACAUGUUCGAUCAAACUUUAAGACCUUUCGGGCGUUAUCCGUUGAUCCCUUGGAACGCCUCCUUGCUCCUCCUGAUGAAAGCCGCAGCCAGUUCGUCCACGUCCGGCACUGCCUUGCCGUCAGCAGCGGUGGCUGUGGUAACCCGGCCGGCCUCACCAAGGUGAGGCGCUGACGGUAUCCUGUUCUUGACGAGCUCGAGCUUCUCCGCCUCCUCAACAUGGACUUCACCUUCGACAACGACCACACGCGCACCAUUGUUGCCGCCUCGCCACAUCCUGACUUCCACUAGCUCUCUGUAUCCCACUACUAUAUAUCUUACCAGUAUUUACUUCUGCUAGGAAAUUGAGUGGAGGUGAGGAUUAAUGAUCGAAUUUGAGCUGUUUAAGGUUUAUUUUUCCUUUGAUCGGUCGAUUGACGAUCAGUGCACUACUACAGAAUAGGUUUUUCAUCUUUGAUAUUAGUCUCGGCCAGUGUUAGAUCUAGGACUAACGGAUGCAUUAGUUCCGGGUCUAAAAGUUAGAUGGCUGGGGGAACAUUAGUUCCGGUUGGAGCCUCUGACCAGAACUAAAAGCCUCUCUUUAGUCCCGGAUGGUGUUACCAACCAGGACUAAAGGGUCAUCAUUUAGCCCCGGUUGGUGCUAUCAACCCGGACUAAAGGAGUCUCCACAGGUUAGUUCAAAAGUAAGGUAUCCCAACUACAGUUAUAUGUGUUGUGUAGGUAGGGUGGUAAGAAAGCUAUGCGUGAGGCAAAAGAUCUUAGGUUUGAAUCCUGGGUGCGGAGUAAUUUUUUGCUUGCAUGGACACUUUAGUCUCGGAUGCGAGAACCGAGACUAAUCAUUCGGAUUCGUAGUCUGGGACCCGGACGAAUUAUUCGGGUCUCUAGUUCCGGAUUCGUAGUCCCGGUUCCAUAACCGGAACUAAAGCAGGUUAGGUACCCGAACUACCAGCCUAUUCUGUACUUAUAGGCUGGUAUUUAUAGGCUCCAACUCCUGGAGCAGGUUGCUUGGAUCGAUCGCAACUCUUUCUGAUGUGAACAUGGAGUAGCCACUAGAUUCUUAAAGUGGAGUAAAGACUAAUAGCUACUGUGCAAUGCCCGCCUAUGUCAACCAGUCCAUACACGUAAUAAAGAUAUGAGAGCGCUGCAAAGUCCGGGAGAGUUUGGUUGCUGAUUGACAGAUCAAAAUGCUGUCUAUGUUGAACUAGGAAAUGCAUGUUUGCUGUUUAGACACUCUUUGAAUCGAUGCCUUCCUCUUGGGGGGAGUGUCUCCGGUGUGUUUCAGGCUUUCAGACAUUGCGGCCGGAAGCAUCCGGGGGAAUACUACUACUGGAACCAGCUGCAUAAUGAUGAUAAUUUCCUGGCAAAUACUCCAUAUAUAUAUAUGUAUAUAUGAUUGCUCCUCAAUUAUGUAUUUGGUGAUGAUGCUGAAUGUCAUGUUUGUUUUUCCAUAGUACUAUUUAUUCGUGUGGUAGGUUUUUCUAGAUUAAUUGCUGGAAACUCCAAUGAGACAAACUUGUGCACAUAGCACUUAAACUCGAAAUAUCGAACUUUGUAAUAAAAUAUCAAUGAGCUUUAUUGUCUUAGAUUCAAGAACUUAUUUAUACUUGAAACCAGCAACUUGGGAUUUGAUUCUAGAACCCUACUUGAUGGGGUGUCAUCUUUGCCAUAAACUGGCGGCAUUGUGAUGAAAGCAUUUCCAGCUCAGCCUUUUUAAGAUAAACUUAGAGAUUAUGAAGUCUUGAUGGGGCGUGGAAGUUAUUGCGCCAAUUUAUUGUUAACACAUAUCAUAAAAGUAAGCAUGUUACAAGUCUACACUUUUUUAUGCAACGGCAAACUACUAGCUAGUACAUUCGCAAGGUAUUUUGUAAGGCCACCUCUCAUUGAAGAAAACAGAACUUUCAUGCUAGUUACACACUCAAAAGAGGUGCGGUUUAUGUGCAUCCGCUUUUAGUGAAGCGUGUUACAAUAGCACGAAGUUUGCAAUGAAGUUGCUCAUAGGUGCAGUCUUGGCUGACCAUUAUAUUGAGUGGAUGUUGGUCCUGCAGUAAAGGUACACCAAACUGGGUUUCUUUUCCUUCUUCAAUUUGUUGACAGUAACAUAAAAAUGAGCAUUUUACAAAUCUACAUUCACAGAUAUCAUAUCAUAGAGCAUCUUUUCCUUUAAGAAAACAAAAUUUGCAUGCCAGUUAGAGACCCACACUCAACUGAUAAGUUGAAGUACACGACAGCGAACUUGCUCCCCAGAUUCGGAUCGGCCGAUCAGGCUAUUGACACAAAACACAACGGGUAUCUAAUAGUUUAUACAGACUGCAGAAUGCACGGACGAUCACACCCGAUUCAGGACAGGCAAUGAAACACCAAGUUAUGCCUACACACAUACGCAUAGAUGCAUGUCCGAUCAAACGUUUAUUUACAUGAUCUUUUGGCCGUGAUCGUCGACAGUCCCUCCCUGGAACGCCGCCCUGUUCCUCCGGAUGAAUUCCUCCGCCAGCUCGUUCACGUCAGGCACCGCCGCCUUUCCGCUGGCGGCGGUGGCCGGAGGGCCGCGCGGAGGCAGGACGAUCGCCGCCGUUGUUGUCGGUGGUGGCGUUACUCCGUCCACGACCACCUCGAUCUUCUCCACCCUCUCGACAUGGACCUCGCCGUCCACGACCACACGCGCCGCAACAUUGUUGUUGGCACCUCGCCACAUCUUGGGCAGAUUAUUAAUUACUCCACUAUUCUUCUUCUCACCCUUCUGAUCGCGAUCAAUCGACGAUGGCGCACUCGAAAACUGCGAGAUAUGGAGAUGGGUGAUCCGCGACCGUGUUAUUUAUAGGCUCCAGCAGCUGCUUUGUGAUGAUGCAGCCUACUGUUGCUUGAUCGGUCGUUGUGCGACUCUUUCCAACGAUCGAUCAUGUGAACACAGGUUCAGGUUGGCAGAUGCUGCCUGUAGAUGGUUAAAGCGGAGUAGACUACCGUGACGUAACAAGGACGGCAUGUAGUCAUGCAUCCGUUCAACACUUCAAAUAACCAAGUCAGCACGUAAAGCUAGAUAGACAUGGUUGCAGAAAACGUGCAAGCUUAGGCACGAAGCUGGUGAUGAGAAGUCCAAUAGAGUUUGGUUUUUCACACUACUACAAUAAAGCUCUACGCAAGCGGUCCGGUUAGCCUCUACACAAGCUCUUUCAGGAACCGCUUGAGACGCUCCGCUUGUGAUGUAAAACAACAUCUCAGGCGGUCGAUCAAAAACCGCUUGAGAUAGACACACAUCACAGGCGGUUUUUACCAAACAAACCGCUUGUGAUAGGCCAACAUCACAGGCGGUUUCUUCCAAACAAACCGCUUGUGAUAGGCCAACAUCACAGGCGGUUUGGUCUAAAUGGACCGCUUGUGAGAAACAAACACUGAGCUUGUGUUUCAGAGACAUCACAGGCGGGUUGGAAGAAAAACCGCUUGUGGUACGAACAUAUCACAGGCUGUUUAUAAGCCAAUCCGCUUGUGAUAGGAACAUAUCACAAGCGGUUUUGAGCUGAGCCGCUUGUGAUAAAUUCAUAUCACAGGCUGUUUGUAAGCCAAUCCGCUUGUGAUAGGAACAUAUCACAAGCGGUUUUAAGCCCAACCGCUUGUGAUAAAUACAUAUCACAAGCGGUUUGCAAGCCCAGACGCUUGUGAUCUAACACAUCACAAGCGGUUUAAUAUGUCCAGAUUCAUAUCCAAAUUCAAUUUGCAUUCAUAAAUCAUAUCCAGAUUCAUACAGCAAAUAGAUAUACAGAUUCAUACAAAUCACAGAUCACAUUCACAGAACGACAACAGUAGUAUUAUCACCAAACCAUAAUUUACAGCAGCUCAAGUUCAAGUCCAUACAUCAACAUUGAAGAACAGGCCACACAUGACAUAAGCUAAACAAAUUCAAGGUCUAAACACUGUGAGCUAGAUUGUACAAUUCUGGGAGAUCAGACAACUUUCCCUUUUCAUUGAAGAGUAGUCCAUUUGGGGGAAGAACUUCACGGUGCAAAAAGGAAAGCAAGUCUCUUACAACCUUAGCCACGCCGACAGUAGCCAUAUCUCUUCCUUGCGAUUCAUCCUUGAUGUUGGAUUUAGAAACCUGGAAUGAAAGCGAAAGGUGCUUUGUAAUAGUAAUGUCAUGGGCUGCAAUAAAAAAAUUGAAACAUAGACAAUGAUAGGGAACUUACAUCCUCACGGUUGACACGACUCCAUUCACAUACAUAAUAACCGCACAGGACAGUACCAGGAGGUUGUUUCUGACUGGUUGAACAUAAUGAUAUUGACAAAUUAGGCUUGUCCUCUGGAUGCUCGCCGCCAAGAUCUUUGUAAUAAAAACGGUAUGCGUUGCAUAUAAGAAUACCAUUGUGAGAUUAAGACAAUACAUUUGCUAAGUUGUAAGUACAAGUGUAAAAUAGUCAUACUUCUCUAAAAUCUUCAAGAAGUCAUUAUAUGCAUCCUUUUGCAUUCUCAGCGAGUCGAAGACCAUGGCUGUACCACUCUUUGGAAAGAUCUUGAUACAAAUGUAGUGGUCACUACAUAUACAUAUACGAAAACACAUGUUAAGAUCACGAUUGCCAUAAUUUGUAGUUCAAAACCAUGUGGAGAACUUACUUAAAGUGGUGCGGAGCUAUUAUUAACUCCUUGCCAUGUUGUACAUGAUUGUACAUGGCUCGCCCGAUGUAUGCUGCCAUUAGCCUCUUUUUUUUUCUUUGAUUCUUUUUGACUGCUCUCUCAAAUUCAUCAUCAUCAAGGUCUUUGUAUUCUUCUCCAUGUCUCCGAACAACUUCUUUGUAGCGAGCUUGGGAUAUCAUCAAUGGAUCAAGAAACCCUGUCUGAAGUUGUUUCUUCUUACCAUCUAUGUACUGCAUCCUACAUGUAAGAAGCAAUAAUUGUUAGAAUCUGUGCUGUACAAAACUAACAGACAUUAAAGUUUAGAGGUACUUACAAGCAAAAGAGGGUUAAGUAGUUGGUUUCCAUCCUUUUUCGAUGGUACAACGACCACAGAUCGUCAAAGAAUAAAUACCGCACAGCAUCUACAUUAUCUUUGCUCCAAAAUGCAUCAUCUGGCACAACAUAUGAGAAGCCCUCGAGUUUGUGUUUGUUGCUAGCCACCAUGUACCACUCAUGCAUUGUAAUCUCUGCAGCCGACAACUUAGAAAGUUGCACCGUUGUCAAGAACGGCCUCCCAUUCUCAAAUUUAGGAGGAACAUCCUCCUUCUUGUAUAUCGGGAUAUCGACUUUAAGACGUAAUGAAUCUCGAGUAUGAAUCAUUCCAUCUUCUUCCCAUACCUCGAGCUUGUCUUUUAAUUGGGACCGUGUGCGUACUCCACAAGAUGCUGAUUCUGCUUUUGACUGAUCUGUCAUAACUCUCUUCAACCUUUCCAAGUAGCGUGUCACAACUUCUGCCGGUUUCUUGACAUUGUCAGUGGCUAUUUGUUGAUGAAUUUUCUUUGAAGUACUUGGCCCUGCAACAUUGGUGUCAACCUUUGCUUCCUUUCUAAUGUCAGCAUCAACAUUCUGAGGAACAAUUCUGUCCACAUCCCCCUCCUCAACUGCCUUCUUCAGAGGUGAUAUGACUGUUUCACUAGUUUUGUGGGAGGCCGGUGCUAUACUUUCCUGCACCAUGGGGAUUGAACUAUCUUUCUGUUGCAUGGGUGUUGAAGUUGGUGUUGGUGACUUAUGACGCGAUAGGGGGCUUGAGAUCAGCUCAUCACCCAACUUAAUGUCGCGUCGAUGCCAAAGGACCAACUUAUUCACUGCUUGCUGCAAAGUCAUGAUCCCCUCAACUGGAUAGUCUAUCUCCCAAUCUUCACAACCACUAUCUGUGAUCUCUAGAACUUGGACCACAGCAUAGAAUGGCGGAACAGGACUAUCAUUGCAGCAAAGCAGUCCUGGUUUUACCACACCAAUAGCAGCCUGUUUUGUUUUUGUCCCAGAUCGAUUGAUUGGAAUAUGAAGACGGCAAGGCGUGUCCUCAACAAUGAAGUCUACAGGGAACUUGGUGCCCGAUCCCAAGCUUUGCACAGAUCCUACACUGCUAGGGACUAGAGGUGGACUCAUGGGGCCUGGAUGCUGUUCACUCGGUACACAUCCUGUUUCCUUCAUUCUCUUCAUUGCUUCACUAAUAGCCUUCUGUACCCUUUCAUCAAUAGCCUCUUCAAGGGUCCUUUUCGCCUUCUCAUGUUUCCUGUAUGACGAUGCAUACUCUGGAAAUGCCUCUCUCCAGGAAAUCUUAGAAGAGAUUCCCCGAGCCCGUCCAGUGUGUUCAGGAGUGCCAAGUGCUGCAGUUAGUAUGUCAUUCUCCCUCCGAGGCUUAAACUCGCCCUUCUUUCUCUUUUCUGCAUAUUCUUGAACUUUUUCUGCAACUUCACCAACCAAUUCUGGAUGCAACAGUUUGCCCUCAUUAGUCAAACCUGCACGAGCUAAGAUCCAACGAAGAGCUCGCUCAUCGAUAUCUUUUAAUAAUGGGUCCAAAGUGCCAUUGGCCAUAGCUUCCUCAAUUAUCCUGUUCCACUCCAUUGCUUUAGGGAGAUAUCCGGUUGACCCGAGGCGAUGGGGGUGUUUGUUCUUCUUUGCUCUCUGAGAAUUAGUUUCGCUCAGCUCUUUGGCCUUCGGUUCGGUCUUCUGACGAACAAAUUCCUCCCACUGAGCUUGUGUGAUUUUCCCCAUUUUCUUCGGCGGAGGAACCCUGUUCUUCUUAACAAAAUCCCUAUUCAUCUCAACCUUCCACCCACGAAACCUCCUGGCCAUAGCAGAGAGCAUCGACUUCCUUACUGCAUCCUCCGUGCCUUUCGGGACCCUGAAUGACUCUGACAUCUUAGCCCAUAGCCUAUUGCGGGUGUCCUCAUCCAAAUCCUUCCACUUCUUAAGUGUGAUCGGCACUAUAUCUCUGACAAUAGCCCCACAGGCAUUUCGGAACUUUGUAACCACAUCAAGUGGUUCUUCAGGAAACCCCUCUGCAUUGAGCUUUGUUAUGUACAUGACUGCACCGGCCUUCAGCUGAUUGGGACCUCGUGGCCCUCGUUUCCGCUUCUGUGAAACAGAUGAUUCAGCCACCGGAGCUUCCUCUGUGUUUCCCGUAGAGCAUGCCUCCUCUUUUUUCUCUUCAUUUGAGACCUAUAUAUUCAAACAAUUGAUGGCCUUUAAUAUAUGGACAUAUUUUAGAUGCUACAUAAUUUAAGUUAUCAGGCUGAUUUCUAUUUACCUCCUCUUCGUUGGGAAUAUAGUCAGCAUCAAGCUCAUCUGAAGUUUUUCUCUGUCUCGGAGGUAUGGGUGUUGAAGGAUUGUCAUCACUAGGACUAUCCUCCUCCCCGCUGCCUUCACUGGAACUGCUUGAUGUCUGCCAAUGGAGUCUGGUCGCGUCUUCAUUAGAUUUGUUACAGACACCGGUCAAGUCCAUAUCAUCCAUCCUAGUAACAAAUACAAGCACUGCACAUCAGUAGAAAAAUUUAAGCUAAUUCUAUGUAACUGAAAAGGAUGAAUCAAUGCAAUUCAGAGCAAGAAUACAUGCUAUCUCAGAACAUAAGAGGCAGUUCAUGCUAACAAAUAGAGGUUAACAUAAGAGGCAGUUCAUGUAUUGUUAUCAUCUAGGAACAACAACUGUAUUCUGUAAAGGCCAGUGCACUAGAGCAGCAUCUAGGAAGAACAAUUGAUGUACGUAUAUGUGAACUGUGAGGCAGAGAAUCAACUACGAGAAGGCCCAGGAACAGGUACAACCGUGGCUGCACUGGGCUCGGGGACGGCGGUGCUCCACUCGCGGACGGCGGACGGCGGCACUCCGCUCGGGGACGGCGGCACUCCGCUCGGGGACGGCGGCACUCCGCUCGGGGACGGCGGCCCUCCGCUUGGGCACGGCGGCACUCCGCUCGGGGACGGCGCCCCUCCGCUCGGGGACGGUGGCCCUCCGCUAGGGCACGGCGGCGCUCCGCUCGGGGACGGCGCCGCUCCGCCCCGAGCGGCGCUCCGCUCGGGGACGGCGCCCCUCCGCUCGGGGACGGCGGGCCUCCGCUAGGGCACGGCGGCACUCCGCUCGGGGACGGCGCCGCUCCCCUCGGGGACGGCGGCGCUCCACUCGGGGACGGCGGCGCUCCGCUCGGCUCGAGGAUGGCGCGGCCCUCCGGCCGGCAAGGGGAUGGCGGCGGGGAAGGACACGGCUGGCGCGGUAGGCGGGCGAUGAAAAUUUUGUCUGGCGGCGCGCCUCCGGGAGGGAGAUGAAAAUUUUGUUUGGGGCGCGCCUGCGUGGGACACAUAGGCAUCCAUCUGUUCACAAGCGCUUUUUCCUUGAAGACCGCCUGUGAUGCAGAACAUCACAAGCGCUUUUUCCUUCACGACCGCUUGUGCCGUGGAACAUCUCAAGCGCUUUUUCCUUCCCGACCGCUUGUGAAACAGCUUGCGAUACGCUUUUCCUUCCCAAGCGCUUUUUCCUUCCAGUCCGCUUGGGAUAACUUUUUUCAAUUUUUGGUCUUAUGAAAUUUCGUUUCAGAAUAAUCUGUGUGUGAACGUUGGAUAAAUCUUUUGGUACAAUUUCUACAUAUCAUAUAGUGCAUGAGUGUCGCUGCAUAGAGUUUUCAUGAAUUUUCGAGUUCGGUAACUAUUUAAUUGUAUUUAAAUGAAUUUCUACAUGCUUCUUGAGAGUAAUUCGAACUUGAACUAAGAGUACAAACAAUAUGUCUCAAAAAAAUUCCUGAAAAAUAUAUAUUGUUUGAUGUGUUAUAGUAUUGACUAAUUUCCAGAAAAUGAUCCAAAAUUUAAUUGUUUGUUAACUAAAAAAGGUACCUUUGCUCUGUGUGAUGGCAACAAAUAAAUCUUAUAAUAUGGAUCUUUUGUCCAAAAAAUCUAUAACUUGACAUGGCAUCAUACUUUAGGUUACUGAACUCCUAGAAAAAAAAUCACUUGAUUUUGACAACUUUGGAAACACACUUGUUCAUAGGAUCAUUGAUUUAGUUCACUUUAUAUUAACUUGUGACUCUUACUUGUGAUCCUAUGAACAAGUGUGUUUCUAAAGUUGUCGAAAUCAAGUGAUUUUUUUCUAGGAGUUCAGUAACCUAAAGUAUGAUGCCAUGUCAAGUUAUAGAUUUUUUGGACAAAAAAUCCAUAUUAUUAGAUUUAUUUGUUGCCAUCACACAGAGCAAAGGUACCAUUUUUAGUUAACAAACAAUUAAAUUUUGGAUCAUUUUCUGGAAAUUAGUCAAUACUAUAACACAUCAAACAAUAUAUAUUUUUCAGGAAUUUUUUUGAGACAUAUUGUUUGUACUCUUAGUUCAAGUUCGAAUUACUCUCAAGAAGCAUGUAGAAAUUCAUUUAAAUACAAUUAAAUAGUUACCAAACUCGAAAAUUCAUGAAAACUCUAUGCAGCGACACUCAUGCACUAUAUGAUAUGUAGAAAUUGUACCAAAAGAUUUAUCCAACGUUCACACACAGAUUAUUCUGAAACGAAAUUUCAUAAGACCAAAAAUUGAAAAAAGUUAUCCCAAGCGGACUGGAAGGAAAAAGCGCUUGGGAAGGAAAAGCGUAUCGCAAGCUGUUUCACAAGCGGUCGGGAAGGAAAAAGCGCUUGAGAUGUUCCACGUCACAAGCGGUCGUGAAGGAAAAAGCGCUUGUGAUGUUCUGCAUCACAGGCGGUCUUCAAGGAAAAAGCGCUUGUGAAGUUCUGCAUCACAAGCGGUUUCCGUGUAUCUCAAGCGGAUUUUGGUUUAUAUCCGCUUGUGGUGUGUGUACAUUAUGAACUGGUUGGAAUCGAGUUGCAGAGGAACCCUUUCGAGUUUCUACCGUUGCCUAACAGCGCCGCCAAGGCUGCCGUUGGCGAGCUGCCGCCGUCCCUGCCCCGACGCCGCGACGUGGGACGAGCUGCCGCCGCCGUCCACGAGCGCCGCGGCCCCGAGCGCCGCGCCGUCCACGAGCGCCGCUGUCCCCGAGCGUCGCGCCGUCCACGGGCUGGCGCCGCGGGCCCCGAGCGCCGAUUCGUGUCCACGAGCUGCCGCCGCCGGCCCAGAGCGCCACGCCGAACGUCCACGAGCUGCCGCCGUCCCAGAGCGUCGCGCCGUCCAGGAGCUGCCGCCGUCCCCGAGCGUCGCGCCAUCUACGGCUGGCGCGCGGGCCCCGAGCGCCGAUUCGCGUCCACGAGCUGCCGCCGCCGGCCCAGAGUGCCACGCCGUACGUCCACGAGCUGCCGCCAUCCCAGAGCGUCGCGCCGUCCAGGAGCUGCCGCCGUCCCCGAGCGUCGUGCCGUGUACAAGCUGCUGUCCCCGAGCAGAGCGCCGCGCGUCCACGAGCUGAUGAACCGACCCCAAGCCGCAAGGUAUCCUCAUCAAAUUUGUCUGUUGCUUUAGUUUAUGCACAUUCGUUCAUGAUUUAGUGAUCGAAUUCAAUUAAUUAGGGGUUUUUGUAGUUCAUGGCAUAGAAUUUUGAAGAUUCAGACUUCUGUCAUGUACCUAUCGAUAUGAUCUUGUUUCACUGUCAUGUACCUAUCGUCAUAUGGUCUUGAAUUCAAUUUACGUUAAUCAAUAUAGGGACAGGCAAUGGACCGAGGUUGGAUGUACAAUGUGCCAAGACCACAUCCGUCGUACAUUCGAAAUGUCAGAAGCUUUAUUGAAGCGGCCAACAAGCACGCGAAUAUGCGAAAAAGUAAGGAGAUAUUGUGCCCAUGCAUCGAUUGUGAUAAUAAGGUAGCUUGGAGAGAUACAGGAGCAAUCCAAUCACAUCUGCUCAAAAGAGGGUUCAAAAACAAUUACACGAUAUGGACAGAACAUGGUGAGCUGGAUCCGUGUGAAGUGCUUGGUAAUGACGAAAGUGCUGUGGGAAUGUUAGCUAAAAAGGAUGGUAAAGUGGAUUCUGUGGAUGCCAAUCAAGAUUUUGUAGAAUUUGAUUGCGAAGACAUGUUGCGCCAUAUGGAUCCAGAAAUGUUGAGUUCUAUGGGAUCACAGAAGAAAGAUCUACCUAAAUUGGAGGGUCUGGAAAGUGCCUCAAAAGAACCUUUAUAUGAUGAAUCAAAGGGCUGUGACAAAGAGUUUACUACACUGCGUACAGUUCUUGAACUUCUUAAGUUGAAGGCUAGCGCCGGAUGGUCUGAUACUAGCUUCACAGAUCUUUUAAAAUUUCUAUCCCAACUCCUACCAAAACCCAACAAAUACCAACCAGCACUUAUAAAGCGAAGAAGCUUAUAUCUCCCGUAGCUCUAGGUGUGCAAAAAAUUCAUGCAUGUCCGAACCAUUGUAUUCUGUAUCGUGGCGAGUUUGAGAACGCAACAAGAUGCCCAGUUUGCAAUGUUAGUCGAUACAAGAAGAGCUACAAUCAAGAGUGUGUGAACAAAAUCGCAAAGAUAAAUAGAAACAAGAAAGCCGCUAUCGGACCUGAAAUUGAUGAUGACACUUUUGAUGACAUGGAUGGCAAAAGGAGGUCAAAGAUCCCAGCUUUGGUGAUGUGGUAUCUUCCAGUAAUUGAUCGCUUGAAGCGUUUGUUCUCGAACCCUAGGGAGGCUGAGCUUAUGCGCUGGCAUGCUGAAAGUUGCAAGCAGAAUAACAAACAGAUUCGACACCCUGCUGAUGCAUCACAGUGGAAAACUUUUGAUCAUUUGUAUCCUGAGUUUGCCAAAGAAAUCAGAAAUGUAAGAUUUGCUUUGGGUACAGACGGAAUGAAUCCAUUUGGUGAAAAAAGAAGUAUACAUAGCACCUGGCCCGUGACUCUGACGAUGUACAACCUUCCGUCAUGGUUGUGUCACAAAAGGAAGUACAUUAUGUUGAUUAUUCUUAUUCAAGGUCCGAAAGCAGCUGGUGUUGAUAUUGAUGUGUUCCUGGAACCUCUUAUGGAAGAUAUGGCGAAGCUCUGGAAUGAAGGAGUUCGAAUAUGGGAUGAGUAUCGCCAGGAGUAUUUCAACCUAAGAGCAAUUAUAUUUGUUACCAUCCAUGAUUCUCCCGGGGGCGCCACACUUUCAGGGCAAAAGACCAAAGGAAAGAAUGGUUGUGUAGUGUGCGUGGAGGGAACUGCUUCCUUAUACCUUAAAUCAUCCAAGAAGUUGGUGUUCAUGGGACACAGACGGUUCUUGAUGAAGCAGCAUAAGUACCGAAAGAUGAAAGAGGAAUUUAACAAUGAACUGGAAAGUGAAGGUGCACCAAAGCCUUAUAGCGGGAAACUCAUUUUUGAAAUUGUAAAAAACAUUCAGGUUGUAUUCGGAAAGGGGAAAAAAAACAAAGGAGAAAAGAGAAAGAGAACUGACCCUUCAACUGACACAACUUUCAAGAAGCAAUCGAUUUUUUUCAAGUACCUCCCAUACUGGAAGGAUAUGGAAAUUUGCCACAGCAUUGAUUUGAUGCAUGUAACAAAGAAUGUUUUUGAUAGCAUCAUUGGAACCUUACUGGGCAUGCCGAGUAAGACAAAGGAUGGACUUAAGUCACGCCAGGACCUAGUAGAUCUUCAAAUCAGAUCGGAACUUCAUCCAGUGGAUAGUGGCAAAGGGAAGCCUUACCUUCCCCCAGCU